rnacentral:rRNA from 1 species
GUGCCAGCAGCCGCGGUAAUACGUAGGGUCCAAGCGUUAAUCGGAAUUACUGGGCGUAAAGCGUGCGCAGGCGGUUGUGCAAGACCGAUGUGAAAUCCCCGAGCUUAACUUGGGAAUUGCAUUGGUGACUGCACGGCUAGAGUGUGUCAGAGGGGGGUAGAAUUCCACGUGUAGCAGU